rnacentral:lncRNA from 7 species
GAUAGGGUUAUGGAGGCUGAAAACUUACACCUUUCCUUCAGUGAACGUAUGCUGAUGAUAACUACAUUCAAGUGAAGAGAGAAAAUGGCCUGCUUUCCUCGCUUCAGAACUGGAAGACUUAAUCAGGUCUUGUCUUAAUGUGUAAAUCAAUGUCAACCAUAUGGUGUAGGACCAAAUUUUAUUAUCGUGGUGCAAUCCCAUUAAACUUCUGUUCUCAUGGUUAAGCAGAUGUGGCAGUUGGAUAAAUGAUAGAGAAUCUGGCCCAUACGUUGUCUUUCAGGCACUGCUCGUGCGUUAGUCCCAGUAACCAAUGUCUUCACGUCCAACCAGUUACCCACCAUUAAAAUGGGAAUUCCCAUUUUAAACAUCGAGUCCAAUUCUUUUUUUAAUUCUGUAAGUGCCUUUGUUUCAGAAAUGUUCUGUGGAAUCAAAUACAGUACAAUACUCUGUCAUACGGAAUUCUCUGGAGAAUCGUUGACUUUAUUACACACUGUAAACCAGCUUCGUAUGUUGUUUGUAGUUCAAACGUAAGUCUUCAAAAGAAAUGGCAUAAACUCUUUGCACCUUUGUAAUAAAUGCAGUGUUUG